rnacentral:rRNA from 1 species
GAUCAUGGCUCAGGAUGAACGCUAGCUACAGGCUUAACACAUGCAAGUCGAGGGGCAGCAUCAUUAAAGCUUGCUUUGAUGGAUGGCGACCGGCGCACGGGUGAGUAACACGUAUCCAACCUGCCGACAACACUGGGAUAGCCUUUCGAAAGAAAGAUUACUACCGGAUGGCAUAGUCUUCCCGCAUGGGAUGACUAUUAAAGAAUUUCGGUUGUCGAUGGGGAUGCGUU